GCCUGGUUAGCUCAAUCGGUAGAGCGUGAGACUCUUAAUCUCAAGGCUGCGGGUAAGUAGCAAACAGAAAAUAACAAUCAGUUCUUUCAACAGUUACUAAUAAGAAAUUUGCAGGUUCGAGCCCCGCAUCGGGCU